rnacentral:rRNA from 1 species
AUGGCCGCUCCCUCCCCCGCCGUCGCCGCCGUCAGCAGCAGCGCGCCCUCGUCCGGGCUCCUGCCGCCGCGGCGCGCGGCACCGUGCAGCGCCGUCCCGCUGCCGUCGAUGAGGAGCACGGCGCCGGGGGUCAGGAUGGCGACGGUGGCCCGCGCGGUGGGCGACGUGGCCGCGGAGGGCAACACGUUCCUCAUCGCCGGCGCCGUGGCCGUCGCGCUCGUCGGCACCGCCUUCCCCAUCUUCUUCUCCCGCAAGGACACGUGCCCCGAGUGCGACGGCGCCGGGUUCGUGCGCAAGUCCGGCUCGACGCUGCGGGCGAACGCGGCGAGGAAGGACCAGGCGCAGAUCGUCUGCGCCAACUGCAACGGACUCGGCAAGCUCGGCCAGAUCGACAAGUAG